AAAAAAAAAAAAAAAACAUAUACAGCCACAUUGUAUGAUUGAUUAAAUAGCACAGAUGAUCUCAAUUAGAAUUAAUUAUAAUUUAUAAAGAAAAAGAAAUGAAUAAUUGAGAAUCAUCAGCAGCAGCAGUUGAAAUUUUAGCAGGACCUUAAUGGAUGAAGCGGGGCAAAUAAUAAGAUUCAAAUCCUCCUUAAUCAAUCCUGCUCAAGUCUCCAUUUACCCCUCCCCUUUCCUUUGUGAGUGUUUUUUUUCCUCAAAGGUAUCAGAUUCGAUUAAGACUCAAAACAGGCCGAAAAUG
rnacentral:misc_RNA from 1 species